CAGAAAUGUGUGAACAUUUUAUAAAUACACAGACACACACAUCUACACACACAGAAACACAGUUGAGCAGACAGAAUGGACUAAUAUUGGUUUCAUGCUUUUCACUGUUGAACAACAGCUGCAGGGGGAAUCCGUUGGUGGAGGGUGAACCUGAUGAGGUGGCUUUUCUUUAUCUGGGUCACCUGCUAGAAAAAAAGAAAGAAGAAUGGAGAGAUGAAGAGGAUCCACUGUGUAAAGAAGGUGUGAAUCCUACCUGAUCUGUUCCAGUCCUCCGUAGUGGCUAAGGCUACUUCCUGA